GAUGAACGCUGGCGGCGUGCCUAAUACAUGCAAGUCGAGCGAACAGACGAGGAGCUUGCUCCUCUGACGUUAGCGGCGGACGGGUGAGUAACACGUGGAUAACCUACCUAUAAGACUGGGAUAACUUCGGGAAACCGGAGCUAAUACCGGAUAAUAUAUUGAACCGCAUGGUCCAAUAGUGAAAGACGGUUUUGCUGUCACUUAUAGAUGGAUCCGCGCCGCAUUAGCUAGUUGGUAAGGUAACGGCUUACCAAGGCAACGAUGCGUAGCCGACCUGAGAGGGUGAUCGGCCACACUGGAACUGAGACACGGUCCAGACUCCUACGGGAGGCAGCAGUAGGGAAUCUUCCGCAAGGGGCGAAAGCCUGACGGAGCAACGCCGCGUGAGUGAUGAAGGUCUUCGGAUCGUAAAACUCUGUUAUUAGGGAAGAACAAAUGUGUAAGUAACUAUGCACGUCUUGACGGUACCUAAUCAGAAAGCCACGGCUAACUACGUG
rnacentral:rRNA from 1 species